CUCUCUCUGAGUUUGUGCUGAGUUACAUGACUACAAGAUACCACAGAGAACACAGUCUUUUCUUCACUCUUCUUUUUAUUUUUCUUUUCAGAACACUUAUUUUUUCUCUUUUUUUUGUCUAUUUUAUCUGUCUUUUCUCUGCUGUUAGAAGCACAGACAGUUCUUGAAUCAACUGAGAGAGUUAUCCCUCUUCAUUCACUGUAAAGUCUUUCAGACACAGCAGCAGCAGUUUCCCUUGGAAAUCACACUAUAGCUUCAUCAUGAAUGAUUAUACAUC
rnacentral:sRNA from 1 species